GAACAAUCGAUUUUAAGUUGUGUACGCAUCAAAUACAAUUUACAUUUAUAAUGCCUAAGUUGAUUUCCUGAAGCUGACAAUCAUAAUGACAGAAUACAUGAAAUGAAUUCAAAUUUUUUUCCUAAGGAUUAUAUGCACAUAUAUUAUCAAACCCCAUCUGUUGUCCUUCCUCGAUCUUUUUAAUCGUGUCUGCUAUGCCAAAUCCACCUAAUGAUAUUGCGCUCACAAAGAUUGUGAGGGCCAAAAUGAAGAUAAUCACAGAUGCUCUACCAACUAUGCUAAUUAUUCUUCGUACAACAUGCUGUCCUACUAAAGCUGCAAUACUGGCCACGGCAAUAAAAUACAGUGCAUAUGGAACUGGAAAACGUCCUAGCAAGUAAUAUUGUAUGACGGACAUGGAGGAGGAAAAUAUCAUCACAAAAGCAGCAGUAGCACUUGAUACCUGAGGAGGAAUCCCUAGCUCCAGAAACAAUGGACCCAAAAUGAAUCCACCGCCAAGACCUAGUAGGCCACCAACUAUACCAGCCAAAAUGCCGCAGCAACAGUAAAGAAUCAACUGAUGCACUUUCCAUGAGAUUAAUGCUUCUCCACUCGAAAGAAUCAUCCUUGAUCCCUUGUACAAACAAACAGCUUCAUAUGCAGAAGCUCCAACAGCGAUGGGGAGCUGCAAGAGGCUUAAGGUCCAAUAUGCCGUGGAGCAAGUUGGGGCAUAAUUCUUGGAGACAUGUAGAAAUAGGAUUAUGAUCCAGACAGCAAUAAGUCUGGCAGUAUCCUUCCAGUACAUAUUGUCAAAUAUUGAGACCUCCUUUUUAUAAACCUCAUUUGAAAAAGUAGAAUCAUUUUUUGGACCUCCAGGUAUAAGCUUGUACGCAACUUCUUCAACACCAGCAUCAUUAGAUGUCAAGCACCUAGCUGCUUCCUUUUUAAUAAUAGUUUCUUUCCUCCAUGUCUCGACGCCCUUGAAGAAUGCCUUGGUUGAUGCAGCUAAGAAAAGAAUGAUCAAUAAGAUUGUAACCAUCCACUCAGCAAAAAGUACGUUUAGUACAACACCAACACUGAUCCCCAAUAACAACAUUGGUUGGAAAAGAAGAGCUAGAUCAUAAUCAAUGAUGGGCAGGUCAAGUGAUGGAUGCCUCAGCUUAAGACAGUAGUAGACAG
rnacentral:misc_RNA from 1 species